AGCUCAGUUACAUCACAGUGACCUUUAUGCUGGGGGAGCUUCUUAUAUGUCCUGAAGCUGAUUGGUGGUGGCCCUUUUUGGGCUUGGCUCUUCUAGGUUAACAAGAUUCUCACUUAUUCCAAUAUUUCUUUUCCAAUACCACACUAACACAUCUGGGAAGAUAGCCUGGAAUUCCAUGAAAUCAGUACAGUGUCCUCAACACCAAAUGCAAACAGAUGCUGCACUGAGAGCAAGUUUGUUUCAGAUAUGCCAUGCUCCUUUCUGCAGGCUGUCCGACUGACACCUUGAAAGACAGAUCAAAUGACCACGGAGGAGACACAUUUUUGGACUUCUGCUCCAUUCUUUCAGUAUCUUGCAUUGGAUCCAGUCCAGUCACUGAAGAUUUGCAGUACGCUCAUUGGAAUCAUAAUGGCAUGACCUGUUUGUUGUACAGUACAGAAGGUCUUUGCAGGAUGGCCGAUUUGAUGGAUGUAUGAAACCAAUUAUGCUGGAGAUGACCAGAAGGAAUUCACGAUUUUCCACGUGUGUAACUGGUUUUUUGCUUCAGGAAAUCAUGUAUUUGCCAUACAUGAUUAAUGAUACUGUAAGCAGAUAUAUAAAUGCUGUCAUUUUUAAAAUUGCUGAGUUGCAGUGACGUGAUAUACUUUCAUAGUCCACCAAAAAAAGAAGUAAUAAAGUGUUUACAUUCAGCUGCUCACCUAGACAUACAGAUCAGACAUUUUAUUGUGCUAUAUAAUUUUUUUAAAGUGUUGGCCUUGUAAAGUAUUUUGUAUUUGACUGGGCCCAGGAAAUAAAGCUUGUGCCAAAAGAAAAAUCUAAACAAGAUGACCUGUGAAUAUUCGGGACACCCAAAGCACCUUAGCACAAUGUUACUGCAAUAAACAGUUAUGAGUAAUAUAUAGAUAUUUUUAGCCCUACCUUUAGGUUUAUUUAGCUUUAUACAUGUAUGGAGUGUUCUUCAUUUUAUUUUUUUUUUACCCUUUAUGGUAAACAACUUUAUAGCAUGCUCUAUAUCUUAAUUACUUCUGUUGAAGACAGUCAAGUUAACAUCUUCCAAGUUUAAGGAAAUAGCGUGGAAGUUGAAGAAAUUGUAUGCUUCUGGGAUGAACAGUGGCUGCAGUAAGAUGAGC
ensembl:lncRNA